AUGGGAACCCGAAGAAAAGAACUAGAUGAGGCGCCAUUCCAUUCCAGCGGUGAGCUAGCUCAGGUCCUGACAGUGGUGCCGACCGCUACGCACUUGCCGCCACCGGUAGGGGGGUUGUCUUUCUUGAAUUCGAACCCGGCGUCGCACUUGACUACGUUGGUGACAACGCACUCGCCGCCGCCGCGAAUGGAGGGAUCUUCCUUGAAUUCGAACCCAGCGCCGCACUUGAGUAAGGCGGCUACGACGCAUCCGCCGCCGCCGCUCAUGGAGGGAUCUUUCUUGAAUUCGAACCCGGCGCCGCAUUGCACUACGGCUGCUACGACGCACCCGCCACCGCCGCUAAUGGAUGGAUCUUCCUUGAAUUCGAACCCGGCGCCGCACUUGAGUACGUCGGCUACGACGCACUCGCCGCCGCCGCUAACAGAGGGAUCUUCCUUGAAUACCAACCCGCCGCCGCACUUGAGUAUGUCGGCUACGACGCACACGCCGCCGCCGCUAAUGGAGGGAUCUCUCUUGAAUACCAACCCGCCUUCGCACUUCAGUACGUCCUCUGCAAGCAUCCUGCCAGCCGCCGCGGCCGGCACGAUGGAGCUCAGCUGCAGAACGACGCCGACCAGGACAAGGAGCAGCACGGUGUUUCGGGCCAGGGAAGCCAUCAAUACCGAAACGUGGGGUUUUGCUUUGGUUCUAGGCAGGUGGCAAUGCAAUGAACUCGGAGGUUAA
rnacentral:rRNA from 1 species